GAGCUCGAUGAGUAGGGCGGGACACGUGGUAUCCUGUCUGAAUAUGGGGGGCCCAUCCUCCAAGGCUAAAUACUCCUGACUGACCGAUAGUGAACCAGUACCGUGAGGGAAAGGCGAAAAGAACCCCGGCGAGGGGAGUGAAAAAGAACCUGAAACCGUGUACGUACAAGCAGUGGGAGCACGCUUAGGCGUGUGACUGCGUACCUUUUGUAUAAUGGGUCAGCGACUUAUAUUCUGUAGCAAGGUUAACCGAAUAGGGGAGCCGAAGGGAAACCGAGUCUUAACUGGGCGUUAAGUUGCAGGGUAUAGACCCGAAACCCGGUGAUCUAGCCAUGGGCAGGUUGAAGGUUGGGUAACACUAACUGGAGGACCGAACCGACUAAUGUUGAAAAAUUAGCGGAUGACUUGUGGCUGGGGGUGAAAGGCCAAUCAAACCGGGAGAUAGCUGGUUCUCCCCGAAAGCUAUUUAGGUAGCGCCUCGUGAAUUCAUCUCCGGGGGUAGAGCACUGUUUCGGCAAGGGGGUCAUCCCGACUUACCAACCCGAUGCAAACUGCGAAUACCGGAGAAUGUUAUCACGGGAGACACACGGCGGGUGCUAACGUCCGUCGUGAAGAGGGAAACAACCCAGACCGCCAGCUAAGGUCCCAAAGUCAUGGUUAAGUGGGAAACGAUGUGGGAAGGCCCAGACAGCCAGGAUGUUGGCUUAGAAGCAGCCAUCAUUUAAAGAAAGCGUAAUAGCUCACUGGUCGAGUCGGCCUGCGCGGAAGAUGUAACGGGGCUAAACCAUGCACCGAAGCUGCGGCAGCGACGCUUAUGCGUUGUUGGGUAGGGGAGCGUUCUGUAAGCCUGCGAAGGUGUGCUGUGAGGCAUGCUGGAGGUAUCAGAAGUGCGAAUGCUGACAUAAGUAACGAUAAAGCGGGUGAAAAGCCCGCUCGCCGGAAGACCAAGGGUUCCUGUCCAACGUUAAUCGGGGCAGGGUGAGUCGACCCCUAAGGCGAGGCCGAAAGGCGUAGUCGAUGGGAAACAGGUUAAUAUUCCUGUACUUGGUGUUACUGCGAAGGGGGGACGGAGAAGGCUAUGUUGGCCGGGCGACGGUUGUCCCGGUUUAAGCGUGUAGGCUGGUUUUCCAGGCAAAUCCGGAAAAUCAAGGCUGAGGCGUGAUGACGAGGCACUACGGUGCUGAAGCAACAAAUGCCCUGCUUCCAGGAAAAGCCUCUAAGCAUCAGGUAACAUCAAAUCGUACCCCAAACCGACACAGGUGGUCAGGUAGAGAAUACCAAGGCGCUUGAGAGAACUCGGGUGAAGGAACUAGGCAAAAUGGUGCCGUAACUUCGGGAGAAGGCACGCUGAUAUGUAGGUGAAGUCCCUUGCGGAUGGAGCUGAAAUCAGUCGAAGAUACCAGCUGGCUGCAACUGUUUAUUAAAAACACAGCACUGUGCAAACACGAAAGUGGACGUAUACGGUGUGACGCCUGCCCGGUGCCGGAAGGUUAAUUGAUGGGGUCAGCGCAAGCGAAGCUCUUGAUCGAAGCCCCGGUAAACGGCGGCCGUAACUAUAACGGUCCUAAGGUAGCGAAAUUCCUUGUCGGGUAAGUUCCGACCUGCACGAAUGGCGUAAUGAUGGCCAGGCUGUCUCCACCCGAGACUCAGUGAAAUUGAACUCGCUGUGAAGAUGCAGUGUACCCGCGGCAAGACGGAAAGACCCCGUGAACCUUUACUAUAGCUUGACACUGAACAUUGAGCCUUGAUGUGUAGGAUAGGUGGGAGGCUUUGAAGUGUGGACGCCAGUCUGCAUGGAGCCGGCCUUGAAAUACCACCCUUUAAUGUUUGAUGUUCUAACGUGGACCCGUGAUCCGGGUUGCGGACAGUGUCUGGUGGGUAGUUUGACUGGGGCGGUCUCCUCCUAAAGAGUAACGGAGGAGCACGAAGGUUGGCUAAUCCUGGUCGGACAUCAGGAGGUUAGUGCAAUGGCAUAAGCCAGCUUGACUGCGAGCGUGACGGCGCGAGCAGGUGCGAAAGCAGGUCAUAGUGAUCCGGUGGUUCUGAAUGGAAGGGCCAUCGCUCAACGGAUAAAAGGUACUCCGGGGAUAACAGGCUGAUACCGCCCAAGAGUUCAUAUCGACGGCGGUGUUUGGCACCUCGAUGUCGGCUCAUCACAUCCUGGGGCUGAAGUAGGUCCCAAGGGUAUGGCUGUUCGCCAUUUAAAGUGGUACGCGAGCUGGGUUUAGAACGUCGUGAGACAGUUCGGUCCCUAUCUGCCGUGGGCGCUGGAGAACUGAGGGGGGCUGCUCCUAGUACGAGAGGACCGGAGUGGACGCAUCACUGGUGUUCGGGUUGUCAUGCCAAUGGCACUGCCCGGUAGCUAAAUGCGGAAGAGAUAAGUGCUGAAAGCAUCUAAGCACGAAACUUGCCCCGAGAUGAGUUCUCCCUGACCCUUUAAGGGUCCUGAAGGAACGUUGAAGACGACGACGUUGAUAGGCCGGGUGUGUAAGCGCAGCGAUGCGUUGAGCUAACCGGUACUAAUGAACCGUGAGG
rnacentral:rRNA from 1 species